CAGUCGAGCGCAGGAAUCGACGGAACCCUUCGGGGGGAAGUCGACGGAAUGAGCGGCGGACGGGUGAGUAACACGUAAAGAACCUGCCCUCAGGUCUGGGAUAACCACGAGAAAUCGGGGCUAAUACCGGAUGGGUCAUCGGACCGCAUGGUCCGAGGAUGAAAGGCGCUUCGGCGUCGCCUGGGGAUGGCUUUGCGGUGCAUUAGCUAGUUGGUGGGGUAAUGGCCCACCAAGGCGACGAUGCAUAGCCGACCUGAGAGGGUGAUCGGCCACACUGGGACUGAGACACGGCCCAGACUCCUACGGGAGGCAGCAGUAGGGAAUCUUCCACAAUGGACGAAAGUCUGAUGGAGCAACGCCGCGUGAACGAUGAAGGCCUUCGGGUCGUAAAGUUCUGUUGUAAGGGAAGAACAAGUGCCGCAGGCAAUGGCGGCACCUUGACGGUACCUUGCGAGAAAGCCACGGCUAACUACGUGCCAGCAGCCGCGGUAAUACGUAGGUGGCAAGCGUUGUCCGGAAUUAUUGGGCGUAAAGCGCGCGCAGGCGGCCUCUUAAGUCUGAUGUGAAAGCCCCCGGCUCAACCGGGGAGGGCCAUUGGAAACUGGGAGGCUUGAGUAUAGGAGAGAAGAGUGGAAUUC
rnacentral:rRNA from 1 species